CUAAUACCGCAUAAGCGCACGGUAUCGCAUGAUACAGUGUGAAAAACUCCGGUGGUAUAAGAUGGACCCGCGUCUGAUUAGCUUGUUGGUGAGGUAACGGCCCACCAAGGCGACGAUCAGUAGCCGGCCUGAGAGGGUGAACGGCCACAUUGGGACUGAGACACGGCCCAAACUCCUACGGGAGGCAGCAGUGGGGAAUAUUGCACAAUGGGGGAAACCCUGAUGCAGCGACGCCGCGUGAGUGAUGAAGUAUUUCGGUAUGUAAAACUCUAUCAGCAGGGAAGAUAAUGACGGUACCUGACUAAGAAGCACCGGCUAAAUACGUGCCAGCAGCCGCGGUAAUACGUAUGGUGCAAGCGUUAUCCGGAUUUACUGGGUGUAAAGGGUGCGUAGGUGGUAUGGCAAGUCAGAAGUGAAAGGCUGGGGCUCAACCCCGGGACUGCUUUUGAAACUGUCAAACUAGAGUACAGGAGAGGAAAGCGGAAUUCCUAGUGUAGCGGUGAAAUGCGUAGAUAUUAGGAGGAACACCAGUGGCGAAGGCGGCUUUCUGGACUGAAACUGACACUGAGGCACGAAAGCGUGGGGAGCAAACAGGAUUAGAUACCCUGGUAGUCCACGCCGUAAAC
rnacentral:rRNA from 1 species